UACGUAGGGUGCAAGCGUUGUCCGGAAUUAUUGGGCGUAAAGAGCUCGUAGGCGGUCUGUCGCGUCGGCUGUGAAAUCCCGGAGCUCAACUCCGGGUCUGCAGUCGAUACGGGCAGACUGGAGUUCGGCAGGGGAGACUGGAAUUCCUGGUGUAGCGGUGAAAUGCGCAGAUAUCAGGAGGAACACCGGUGGCGAAGGCGGGUCUCUGGGCCGAUACUGACGCUGAGGGGCGAAAGCGUGGGGAGCGAACCGG
rnacentral:rRNA from 1 species